UGGGGAAUAUUGGACAAUGGGCGAAAGCCUGAUCCAGCCAUGCCGCGUGAGUGACGAAGGCCUUAGGGUUGUAAAACUCUUUCGUCGGGGACGAUAAUGACGGUACCCGAAGAAGAAGCUCCGGCUAACUUCGUGCCAGCAGCCGCGGUAAUACGAAGGGAGCUAGCGUUGUUCGGAAUCACUGGGCGUAAAGCGCACGUAGGCGGAUAGUUAAGUCAGGGGUGAAAUCCUGGGGCUCAACCCCAGAACUGCCUUUGAUACUGGCUGUCUCGAGGUCGAGAGAGGUUGGUGGAAUUCCUAGUGUAGAGGUGAAAUUCGUAGAUAUUAGGAAGAACACCAGUGGCGAAGGCGGCCAACUGGCUCGAUACUGACGCUGAGGUGCGAAAGCGUGGGGAGCAAACAGGAUUAGAUACCCCAGUAGUCCCUG
rnacentral:rRNA from 1 species